UGCCAGACUCCUACGGGAGGCAGCAGUGGGUAAUAUUGCACAAUGGGUGGAACCCUGAUGCAGCGACGCCGCGUGGGUGAAGAAGUCAUUCGUGACGUAAAGCCCUAUCAGCAGGGAAGACAAUGACGGUACCUGACUAAGAAGCCCCGGCUAACUCCGUGCCAGCAGCCGCGGUAAUACGUAGGGGGCAAGCGUUAUCCGGAUUUACUGGGUGUAAAGGGAGCGUAGACGGUUAAUCAAGUCAGAAGUGAAAACCCAGGGCUCAACCUUGGGACUGCUUUUGAAACUGAGUAGCUAGAGUGCAGGAGGGGUAAGCGGAAUUCCUAGUGUAGCGGUGAAAUGCGUAGAUAUUAGGAGGACCACCAGUGGCGAAGGCGGCUUACUGGACUGUAACUGACGUUGAGGCUCGAAAGCGUGGGGAGCAACCAGGAUUAGAUACCCCAGUAUC
rnacentral:rRNA from 1 species